GGGGGUGUAGCUCAGUGGUAGAGUGCUUGCCUGGCAUGCAUGGGUUCUAUUCCCA
rnacentral:tRNA from 1 species